GGCUUGUUGGUCUAGGAGUAUGAUUCUUGCUUCGGGUGCAAAAGGUCCCGCGUUCAAAUCCUGGAUGAGCCC
rnacentral:tRNA from 1 species